rnacentral:rRNA from 1 species
GAUGAACGCUGGCGGCGUGCCUAAUACAUGCAAGUCGAACGAAGCGGGGAAGGGUGAGUAACACGUUGAUAACCUCCUAUAUGAUUGGGAUAACUUCGUGCAACCGGCGCUAAAACGGACACUUAUAGGUGGAUCCGCGGUGCAGUAGCUAGUUGGUAAGGUAACGGCUUACCAAGGCAACGAUGCAUAGCCGGCCUGAGAGGAGGAUCGGCCACACUGGAACUGAGACACGGUCCAGACUCCUACGGGAGGCAGCAGUAGGGAAUCUUCCGCAAUGGGCGAAAGCCUGACGCAGCAACGCCGCGUGAGUGAUGAAGGUCUUCGGAUCGUAAAACUCUGUUAGUAGGGAAGCGGUACCUAAACAGAAAGCCACGGCUAACUACGUGCCAGCAGCCGCGGUAAUAC